GGUUGUUUGGCCGAGUGGUCUAAGGCGCCCGACUCAAGAGAUAGUAAAACUCUUAUCUGAUUUGCAGGUGCAUUCGGGUCUCGUAAGAGGCGAGGGUUCAAAUCCCUCAGCAAUCA
rfam:Nadsonia fulvescens var. elongata DSM 6958 unplaced genomic scaffold NADFTscaffold_1, whole genome shotgun sequence.